GUGCUCGCUCUAGCGGCACACUUACUAAAACUGGAACUACACAAAGAGAUUAACAAGGACCCUGAGCAAGGAUGACAUGCAAAUUCAUGAAGUGUGACACAUUUUU
rnacentral:snRNA from 1 species